GGACCAAGGAGUCUAGCAUGUGCGCGAGUCAUUGGGACUCUUUACGAAACCUAAAGGCGCAAUGAAAGUGAAGGCCCGCCCAGCGCGGGCCGAGGGAGGAUGGGCAUUCCCGAGGGAUAGCCCCGCACUCCCAGGGCGUCUCGUCCUCAUUGCGAGGAGAGGCGCACCAUGAGCGUACACGCUGGGACCCGAAAGAUGGUGAACUAUGCCUGGUCAGGACGAAGUCAGGGGAAACCCUGAUGGAGGUCCGUAGCGAUUCUGACGUGCAAAUCGAUCGUCGGAACUGGGUAUAGGGGCGAAAGACUAAUCGAACCAUCUAGUAGCUGGUUCCCUCCGAAGUUUCCCUCAGGAUAGCUGGCGCUCGUUUCUUGCGAGUCUCAUUCGGUAAAGCGAAUGAUUAGAGGCAUUGGGGUCGAAACGGCCUCAACCUAUUCUCAAACUUUAAAUGGGUGAGAUCUCCGGCUUGCUUGAACUGUGAAGCCGCGAGAUAUCGGAUCAGAGUGCCAAGUGGGCCACUUUUGGUAAGCAGAACUGGCGCUGUGGGAUGAACCAAACGCCGAGUUAAAGCGCCUAAAUCGACGCUUAUGGGAUACCAUGAAAGGCGUUGGUAACUUAAGACAGCAGGACGGUGGCCAUGGAAGUCGGA
rnacentral:rRNA from 1 species